UGUGGACCGCCAUUUCCAGAGGUCCGAAAAAGCUCUCACAUCUCAAUUUCUGAUCCCCAGACCUAAUCCUCUUAUCGUCACUGCUUCCCUUUGCUUUCUUCAUUCUCUGCAAAACCCUAGACCCCCCGUCAAAGCUUCCUCUACUCUUCCAUGGCAAGGAAGCGAAAGCUCGACUCCUCUAAAUCCUCCGAGCCUCCUAAGAAGCUCCAACAGCAAGAAGCUCAAGCCGUCCUCGACGAGUCUAAGCCCCAGAAUGAACCCCUCAAGGAAGUCGUUGCUGAGGAUCUUUCGAAUUACGAGGUGGUCGAGGAAGAAGACGAUGCCGAUCAAGACGAUGAUAACGAGGGGGAGGAGGAGGAGGAGGAGGAGGAGGAUGACGAGGAGGAGGAGGAUGAUGAAGUCGAUGCGGAUGUCGAUAACCACCAUCAAGCCCCCAAUAUUUCCUCCUCCUCCGCCGCUGCUGCAACUACUUCUGACGACGACGACGAAGACGAGCCAAUUCACAAUCUCUUGGAUCCUUUCGGCAAGGACCAGCUUAUAAAUCUGCUUUGCGAAGCGUCGGAGAAGCAUGCGGAUGUGGCUGAAAGGAUUCGAACGGUUGCUGAUGCGGACCCGACCCAACGCAAGAUUUUUGUUCACGGGCUAGGAUGGGAUACAAAUGCCGAAACUUUGAUCAGUGUGUUCAAGGAAUAUGGUGAGAUUGAGGACUGCAAAGCUGUGUGUGAUAAGGUCUCUGGUAAGUCCAAGGGUUACGGUUUCAUCCUCUUCAAGAAGCGCAGUGGGGCUCGGAAAGCUCUGAAGGAACCCCAGAAGAAGAUUGGCAAUAGGAUGACUGCCUGUCAGUUGGCUUCGGUCGGGCCUGUUCCAACGUCUAGUGCGGUGGCAGCCCCCCAAGGACCACCUGCUUCCGAAUAUACGCAGAGGAAGAUUUAUGUGAGCAAUGUCGGAGCUGAUGUUGACCCCCAGAAGUUGCUCACUUUCUUUUCCCAGUUCGGUGAAGUUGAUGAAGGACCAUUGGGGCUUGACAAGACGACGGGUAAGCCUAAAGGUUUCUGUCUAUUUGUGUACAAGACGAUAGAAAGUGCGAGGAAGGCAUUGUUGGAGCCCCACAAAAAUUUUGAGGGUCAUGUCUUGCAUUGUCAGAAGGCGAUCGACGGUCCCAAGCCAGGGAAGUCUCAGCACCAGCAUCAUACACAAAAUGCGCCGUUUCAGAGGAAUAAGAAUCCUAAUUAUGCAGGUGGGGCGACAUCAGGAUCGGGACACUUGAUGGCGCCUGCAGGGCCUGGUGUUGGUUAUAACCAAGGACCUCCACAAGCAUUGAACCCGGCUCUUGGCCAGGCCCUUACUGCUUUGCUGGCGGGUCAGGGUGCUGGGUUGGGACUGACUAAUUUGUUAGGGACAAUCGGAUCUACUUCAGGGCUUAAUCCAGUCAUACAAGGCGCUGGACCUGGAGUACAAGGUGGGUAUGGGAGUCAAGCAAAUAUAAGCCCUGGAGUGAUGGGAUAUGGAAGUCAAAGUGGUGUGCAGGGUGGAUAUCCAACCCAACAUAUGGAACAGGGUGGAACUGGAAGAGGAGGGCAGCAUGGGGUUGGGCAGUAUGGUGGUCCUGGCGGUUAUAUGGGGCACUAGUGCCUCGAUGCGGUACAGAUUCACUCUCCUUAUACUCCUUAUUCUUUUGCUUUAUCUUAAUAUAUGUAUACUAACGUACUAAUCUUUGAAUGGUUGAGCUAUGGAAGAUAUUAGCUAUUGUUAUAGAAGGAUAUGACCUUAGAUUGAACAAAAAAUGGCAUUUGUGGAGUAAAAGAUUGGUUGGUUGAAAUACUUCUGUUGGUGACAGGACUAUUAGAUGAUCUCACUCAUAUGUGCGACAGUAUUUUUGUACUGAUCAGGUGAUUCUCUGAAGUUUAAGGAGCUGAUGCAAAUGACGUUUUCGACCCUCUUCAUUUAAGCUUUGUUUUAAAUCUGUAGUUUUUGAUCUAUUGAAGAUUUGUUUCAAAGAUUUGGAUCAGUUUUAGUACUUUUGAGUAAAACUAUGUAACCUCUAGCUCAAUGUUUGACCAAAAAUAUUUCAAACUCUUUCGCCCCUAUGGUUUUAAUAGAUCUUGCACUUGACAGUAAGGUUAUGGCUUAUUCUUUUUCAUUGAUUUCUUUUGUGAUUAUUCCAACUAAAAUUCUAUGCUUUGCAAGGGUUUAUUCCCAAUUACUAUUUACAUCUCUUAGCUUUAUUGCUCUUGAAAAUUUUGAAAUUCAUCUCUAUCUGGGUUUACAAUGAUAUUUUUCUUUUUAUGCUUUGGGAAACUGUAAAACGUGGGUUGUUUUAGUUUAUAUUUUUUACCUUUGGCAUUAAAAUCCUAGUCUGAGAAUCUGCUUAUCCAAAUUAUUUUCAUGGUUCAUCCCCUUCACAUCUUUUCUUCCUUGUGCAAGAGUUAGUUCUAGAAGCUAUUGUUAUUGUUCUUGAAAGGUUUCUGAUUUUAAAACAUGUAUCACACUGUCCUUUGAUCCACAAAUUUCAAUUUCCAUUGAGCUUUUUAUAUUGGUUUUACGUGUGGCUAGCUGAGGUCUGGAUCACAUAUUGUUUAUGCUAUGAGUUUGUGGUUUGCAUAUGAUAGUUAAUAUUAAUCUAAUCAGGUUGCUCGGUUGGAAUGAAGGGCUACUAUUUUGCAGGUUGUCUCCUUCGUAAGGUAUUUUCAUUCUUGUAUUUUUUUUCUUCGUAAAGCCUAGAGUUUCUUUUACAGCACCAAAGGCUCUGAGGGAUCGGUGCUAUCUUAUGCUAAAAAUCAUUUAUUUUUUGCAUUUUGUAUGUUUUCACUAGGAUGCUAUUAGGGUUAUAUGUUAUCUACAUUUAAAAAAAUAGAAACAGUAGUACUUCAAACUUUUGAAUUUACCAAGUUAGAGGGUUGGCUUUAGGUCUAUUAGACAUAGAUUUUAAUCCAAUGGGUUUAUUGAGUUCAUUAUCAUUUCCUUUAUAAUGUAUAAUACUAGGUCAUUAAUCUCGUUAAAGUGAUUACGUCAAGACUUGUCCAUCUUGUAAAAGUGAUUGUUCUCCUUUUCUUUUCUUGUUAUCACUUUUUCUCAUCAAGUUCGCCUGCACCAUUCAAAUCCUUUUUAUAUGUGUAAGCAUCUUCAUACUUUCAAUCUUAUGAAGAACAUACUUGCUUCAAUAUUUUUCAUGAGAUAAUUUUUUUUUUUGUUGAAUUUUAAUUUGUGGUGUUCUUUGAUUUGCUGAGUGAACUUCUUUGAUUUUUUGCUUUUUUCCAUCUCAAUAUGAUUUAUAAUCUAAGGGUAGGAGACAUGACUGGUGUGCCGUUUAAUCCUAGCAAUUGUUGAAUAUAUAUAUUUUUAUUAUCUUGGGAUAGACUGUGUGUGUAGGUUUAUCAAUGUCUUGUGGGCUUGCAAUUUCUAAAAGCUAGUCAGAAAAGUUCAUAGGUCUUGAGGAAAAAAAUGGGUUGCUUGACAGUGAUUCGUCUCCAUUUCCUUGUAUUCAUCUGUUUUAGCCGCUUUAAUACUCUCAAUUCAAAUCUUUCAUUAUCUAGUAUGUUGCGACAUUUAGUUUUCGAUUUAGUCACAGUUUUUGGAUCUGUAGAUUGCUCAUAGUCGUAGAAAUGUCUGAAGAACAUGAAUGUUGAUUUAGUCACAGCUUUUGGAUCUGUGGAUUGCUCUUAGUCAUAGAAACGUCUGAGGAGCAUGAAUGUCGAUUUAGUCACAGUUUUUGGAUCAGUGGAUUGCUCGUAGUCGUAGAAAUGUCUGAAGAGCAUGAAUGUCGAAAUAGUCACAGUUUUUGAAUCUAUGGAUUGCUCUUAGUCGUAGAAAUGUCUGAAGAGCAUGAAGGUCGAUUUAGUCGCAAGUUUUGGGUCAUUGGAUUGCUCUUAGUCGUAGAAAUGUCCGAAGAGCAUGAAGCUCGAUUUAGACACAAUUUUUGGAUCAGUGGAUUGUUGCUCUUAUUGAUAGAAAUGUCUGAAGAGCAUGACUAUCUUAGCUUAAUCUCAUUGGAGUCACUUUGAGAGAGAGUUUGGAAUGUAUUUGUUGUACUAACAAUAUUUGUAGUGUCUUCUUGGCUUUGUGUAUUUCAGCAUUUUAUGACGCAUAGAUAUUCCUUUUGAGAACCUCUGUUUUGAAGUUGGUUCACACGUCACAUGUGGAUGUAGGGAUAGAACAAGUCAGUAAUGGCGUUCACCUGAAUAGCCUUAUAAAUUAAAUGUCUUGGUUUGGUUUGUAUUAGAACUGGGUAGAGCCUGCAUGAAUGAAUCUUUUAAAAUUGAUCCUUA